UUUUGAACUCUUGAUAUGGUGAAUGUUUGAUUGCUAGAACAUUUAAGGCAUGCUUGAUACUUUUAAUAAGUAUUGCAUAUAGAAAGAAGUAUGGCAUGCAUGCAUGUAUAUGUUCAUAUUUUCUCUUGCAUGCAUUCCAUUCCAAGUUCUGUUAUGCAUAAAUUGUGAAUACACCGGAGUGUGCUCCUGCUCUGGACGUGCCGGUGGGCACGGGCCAUAUUUGACACGGUGGUGUCCUGUGAUAAGUGAAAGCAGGCAAGGGUAGUGGCCCUGUCCUGGUGAUAUUGUUAAAGGAAAUUCUGUUGUACUAAUCACUGCAGGAAACAUAAGCCUCCUGAGUCGACCGUAGAUCGAGUCUUGUUCUGGUAACCCCCAUACUUGUAUCGUGCUACCACUUGUCCCUGCCUCGGGUAGGGUAUGGUUUAGUAAGUUGAUAACCCCUUUCCGUGCACACACCGUACAGAGGGCUACGAUGAGGGUUACCAAUGGCCAUGGACUAAAUCCUGUCAUCGGGUCAGGGAGCAUGGGUGUUUCCGGCUGUCGUGAUGCCGAGAGGGAGAGUACCCUUGUAAUCCGCGCGUAUAAAUAGUGAUCCCAUGCUUUUGGAGGUUGUAGCCUCCCCGACUUAGAGUUUUUCUGGAACGAUGCUUUGGGUGAUUCCUGGCAUCUGGACGGAUUUUCUGGUGUGUGCGGGUCAGGCAUGUUUUCAACCCAAAAACCGUAAUGGGAAUUAGCCAGUGCCACGGUUCUGACUAAAGAAAUCCUUUACUUGUGGGUAAAGAGUACACCCUCUGCAGAGUUUAAAAAACUAUUCGAAUAGCCGUGUCCGCGGUUAAGGACUACAGUCUGGGUUGGUCAAGUGUCGGUCUUAGAGUCGGUCUCCGGAGGAAAUAAUUAAAAUUGAGCAUGGUUUAUUUUGCAGAAGAAUUAUUACUGCUACUGAUGUUAUUAUGACUAUUAUUGAUGCUAUGAUUAUUAUUGUGGACUAACAGAUUGCUCUUAUUUUAUUUUCCAGAGUGUCUCAGGGGCUGGCUGGACUACCCCGGACACUCGAAUUUAUUUUCAAGACCUCUCGUGGUGUUGCCUGAGUUCUCGGAUGGUUAGGAUUUCUGCAAGGAGUACCACAGUGAUGACCAUGCGGAGCCUAGGAGUGCAGCCACGGGAGAUAGGAUUUAUCCGGGUCAGCUGUUCCUGUGGAAAUGGAGCCCCAUCGACGUUGGAGGACCACAAGUCAAUUCCGUCAUCCACCACCAGACACCAUUUAGUACUCAUCGGACCAUUAUGGUCACCAGACAUCAUUGUUGUAUCACUAGACCUUUGCGGUCUUGUAUCAAAUACUUGUAAUUGCUUGGUACAAGGACGUGUCCACCAGUAACAGAAAUCCUGGGCUGGUGAUGACACGAGGGGUUAAUUUCUGGAUAAUUGUGUUCCCGAAAUCCGGCCCCGAGAGCCUAUCAUGCCAUGAUUUAAUUCCUGUCAGCAUACAUUUAAUAUAGUCUAGUAUGAGCAUAUGCAUAUAGUUUAGUUCAUCAUGACCAUAUAAUUGUCUGCUGCAUUUGUUAUAUCAUUUAUUCAUGAUGUUUGCGAGUACAUUCAAACAUACUCACUGGCUUGUCCCUGGCUAUUUACUUGGCCAGGUUAGAACUUCUACGAGGAGUAACACAGCGACAUCCGUGCGGAGCCUAGAAGUGCAGCCACGGGAGAUAGGAUUUAUCCGGGUCAGCUGUUCCUGUGGGAAUGGAGCCCCAUCGACGUUGGAGGACCACAAGUCAAUUCCGUCAUCCACCACCAGAUACCAUUUAGUACUCAUCAGACCUUUAUGGUCACCACACAUCAUUGUUGUAUCACUAGACCUUUGCGGUCUUGUAUCAAAUACUUGUAAUUGCUUGGCAUUCUGUAACAAGGACGUGUCCACCAGUAACAGAAAUCCUGGGCUGGUGAUGACACGAGGGGUUAAUUUC